UUCAAAAUUACUGGCAUUUUUCUUUGAAGUGGACAGCUUCUAGAAGCAUCUCAAUUAUGGAAUCAAUUACAAAACCGAAACUUUUAUUCCUACUUAUUAACUAUAAAGAGUUUAGCAGACCUCUUCAUUUUCUUGAAAGGCUGUAUGUUCUAGGCCAAUGUUUAUAGCUUUAAGGAACAUAAAAUAAUCAAGUAUGAUUUUAAAAAAGAGCCAACAUAUUCUCCCUGUUCACAAAGCUAUCAUGAUAAUCCUUUGGUUUGAUGUAAAGAUCCAAGCACAUGCUACCAGAAGAUUCAUCCCAUGGUCUUUCCUUCUCUUUACAUUUGUGUAAGAAUUCAGCAUGGUUACUGGAAGCUCAACAAGAAAAUGCAAAAAAAAAAAAAAAAAAAGAUAUAAGAAAGAGUCUUUUGUCAGGAUAAUUUGUGCUACUGUAUACUCUUGAAUUGCCUAUUUCUUGAUUUACUAUUAUUGCAAGAUGAUGUAUGGAUAUGUGAGUGUCCUCCUCACAGAAUGAAUGGUCAUGAGUUUUUGAAAAUGAACCCAUUAUUUUUGUGAUCGUCAUCAUGCAGACCCAGAGCCAGUGCUUACAUAAGACAGUGUCAACGACCAAAAGGGACAAUAGAGAACCUAAGCAGUAAUUCAGUGCCUGAGAGUCAAGUCUUCACAUGCUUGCUCACCAUUCCUAUGACAGUGUCACCAAAGCAAGCCAUGUGAGACACAAAGGGAAAACAUUCAUCACUGAGGAACACUAAGGAAAGAGGCAGCACACAUACAUACCAUGUGGCAUAAGCAGCAGGCAUAUCCCAGAUUACUAUCACUCCACUUUGUGCUACAUUUUCCCCCUGUAUUGUACCUUGACCCUUUCGACUUCCCUUGUUCCCUUCACGCCACACCCCUCACUCCCCACACACACCCUAAAGGCUGUGUCUCUAACCUAUGGCACUGUAGGGUUGUGCAAAAUUCAGGAGAAGUAGCCUAAUGAAAGAACUUAGGUCAUUGAAUAAAUGUGUUUGAAGAGCAUAAUCCCCCACUACACCCUGUGUCUUCUCUUUGGCUCCUUGCAGCCUUGAAAUAAGCAACCUGGCUCAAUAUUGGUUCCCUCUGCAUGAUGUCGUAGAUUACCAUAAACCCAGGAACAAAGGAACAGCUGACCUUGAAGAAUUCAGAACUGUCACAUCUGAAUUCUGCCAAUUCAAGGACUGGGAAGUUUUUUUCUAAUCUUUCCUCUUUUUAAGUUGAUUAUCUCAAAUACUAUGUUACAGCAACAUGAAUCUGACUAACCAACAUUAAAAACAAUUUUAUCUUAGGCCUUAAAGUUUAAAUGGUGCAACAAAACCUAAUAUUUCUCUUUCUUUGUUAGUAGCUUUAUUUUCUUUAUAACCCACUAAGUUUUCAUUUGAAAUAAAUUAAACAGCUGAGGGUCUGAAAUAAUCUACUGAGCUUAUAAGAAGGUCUAGUCGAAAGCCAGAGGCUGAACAUCACACACAGAGAUGGUGGUGAAGAAGACUACCUUGAAGCCUGGAGUCCCCUUUCGUGCUGCAGCUCAGCUGUUUCUUGGCAUCACUUGUAGAGAAGUGGGUACAGAAACUUAACCCAACGGGCCACAGCAGCUCUCAGACUGCUCCCACAGCCACCAUCUUGUGAUCUGCACACACUGCCUAAAGGCCUGAAGAAACUUCCCUGAUCAUUUUUAAAAAGACAGAUUUCGAAGCUAUAUAUCUUGCAUGUUCUUUAAGAUGCUUGCAUUAGAUUGAUUAUGCACAUAACAUGUGCUGAUUGUAUAAAGUAAAAACCUGCUCUGAAGGUCUUUAUCAUUUACGUUGAAAGGCUAUGAGCAAAAUGAAACAAAACAGAAAUGUUUGAGCAGCUGCCCCAGAUUCCAGCUUCACAUCUCAGGUUUGGUGAGAAGAGCUGCUGGUCCUAGCUGAUGUAGGUGGAGACACUUUCAAGAGAUCCUGGCUCUGCUGUCUCCCAUAUGAGGUUCUCAGAAUGAACACAGACUUCCUUAAAGCAACAUGUCCAGGCUGACUUCAGUCCUUCAUGUAGAAGACUCUCCCUGGUCUGAGAAGAGCAACUGUAUUUGAAUUUGCAAUAAAAGAGCUUCCUAUGUAGUUUCAACGAAAAUGAACUACUGGAUUAUCCUGGAGCCAAGGCAAUUACAGGAAAGUAGGUACUGGUGACAGACAGAGAGUCUACUGGGACCCAAUCAGUAUUCUGAGUUGGUGGUGAUCAGAAAACCUGAAAGAGCAUUGGAAGGAAGAAGAAGGCCAAGUUGAACUCAUCAACUCACUUCACUCACCAAUGGAUCAGGUGCUGAAGGCUACCAGUUAAAUGUCACUUAAGGCCUCCCUGUUCUGCGAGAACAAGGGUUGUAUGAACUUGGAAGCUGGAAUGAACCUCAACAUAACCAGAACAAACCAGACACACCAAAGACUCAUUAUUACAAAUAAUCCCUUGAGGUACAGAGAGCUAAUUGAAAAGUAUUUUUAUUAAAUGAUUUCAUGCAUUGAAAUUUCACCAAUUAUCAGAUAUCAAAAUGCAAAAUUAUGUAGUAUAAAGGUGAUAUAACAGUUAAUAGUAGUGUUUAAUUUGGUUUUGUGUGCCGAAACAAUUUUAAACUUUGAACUGGCUUAGAAAGUAAAAAAAUAGACUCACUAUAAAUACUGAUCUUAAGAUAAUGCUUGAUAGACAACUAAAAAGUCAAGACCCUGCCUGGCAU
rnacentral:lncRNA from 1 species